GUGAGUCAUCGAAUCUUUGAACGCACAUUGCGCCCCUUGGUAUUCCAUGGGGCAUGCCUGUUCGAGCGUCAUUUACACCCUCAAGCUCUGCUUGGUGUUGGGCGUCUGUCCCCCCGCCCCGGUGCGGACUCGCCUCAAAGACAUUGGCGGCGGCCUUUGCCAGCUUCUCGCGCAGCGAAAAUUGCGCUUCUCGAAGCAUGACACGCGGCUCGCGUCCACGAAGUCCACCUCUAUGACUUGACCUCGGAUCAGGUAGGGAUACCCGCUGAACUUAAGCAUAUCAAUAAGCGGAGGA
rnacentral:misc_RNA from 1 species